rnacentral:rRNA from 1 species
GACNUUUAGUGGCGCAGCUAAACGCGAUAAAGUAGACCGCCUGGGGAGUACGGUCGCAAGACUAAAACUCAAAUGAAUUGACGGGGGCCCGCACAAGCGGUGGAGCAUGUGGUUUAAUUCGAUGCAACGCGAAGAACCUUACCUGGCCUUGACAUACUAGAAACUUUCCAGAGAUGGAUUGGUGCCUUCGGGAAUCUAGAUACAGGUGCUGCAUGGCUGUCGUCAGCUCGUGUCGUGAGAUGUUGGGUUAAGUCCCGCAACGAGCGCAACCCUUUUCCUUACUUGCCAGCAUUUCGGAUGGGAACUUUAAGGAUACUGCCAGUGACAAACUGGAGGAAGGCGGGGACGACGUCAAGUCAUCAUGGCCCUUACGGCCAGGGCUACACACGUGCUACAAUGGUCGGUACAAAGGGUUGCUACACAGCGA